rnacentral:rRNA from 1 species
AGGACGAACGCUGGCGGCGUGCUUAACACAUGCAAGUCGAACGGAGUUUUAAACGGAAGUCCUCGGAUGGAAGUUUAGAAACUAGUGGCGGACGGGUGAGUAACGCGUGGGUAACCUGCCUCAUACAGGGGGAUAACAGUCGGAAACGAUUGCUAAAACCGCAUAACAUAGCGAAACCGCAUGAUUUUGCUAUCAAAUAUUUAUAGGUAUGAGAUGGGCCCGCGUCUGAUUAGCUAGUUGGUGGGGUAAUGGCCUACCAAGGCGACGAUCAGUAGCCGGCUUGAGAGAGUGACCGGCCACAUUGGGACUGAGACACGGCCCAAACUCCUACGGGAGGCAGCAGUGGGGAACAUUGGACAAUGGGGGAAACCCUGAUCCAGCGAACCGCCGCGUGAGUGAAGAAGUAUUUCGGUAUGUAAAGCUCUAUCAGCAGGGAAGAUAAUGACAGUACCUGACUAAGAAGCCCCGGCUAACUACGUGCCAGCAGCCGC